AUGGAAUUAAAGUCCCUUCCAGAGAACCUUGGAAGCCUCAAAAACCUUCAAGCACUCGACCUCUCAUCCUGCUAUAAACUAGAGUCCCUUCCGGAGAGCCUUGGAAGCCUCAAAAACCUUCAAACACUUGACCUCCAAGCCUGCUGGAAACUAGAGUCCCUUCCAGAGAGCCUUGGAAGCCUCGAAAACCUUCAAACACUCAACCUCUCAGACUGCUUAAAACUAGAGUCCCUUCCAGAGAGUCUUGGAAGCCUCAAAAACCUUGAAGCACUCGACCUCUCAUCCUGCNNNNNNNNNNNNNNNCUUCCAGAGAACAUUGGAAGCCUCGAAAACCUACAAACACUCGGCCUUGCAAGCUGCUAUGAACUAGAGUCCCUUCCGGAGAGCCUUGGAAGCCUCACAGACCUUCAAACACUAGACCUCUCAUGGUGUGUGGAAUUAAAGUCCCUUCCAAAGAGCCUUGUAAGCCUCAAAAACCUUCAAGCACUCGACCUCUCAUUUUGCUAUAAAUUAGAGUCCCUUCCGGAGAGCCUUGGAAGCCUCGAAAACCUUCAAACACUCAAUCGCUCACAGUGCUGGAAACUAGAGUCCCUUCCAGAGAGCCUUGGAAGCCUCAAAAACCUUCAAACACUCGACCUAUCAUUCUGUAAGAAACUAGAGUUCCUUCCGGAGAGCCUUGAAAACCUGAAAAUCAUUAGAAGAGGUUAA
rnacentral:rRNA from 1 species